GCGAAGGGGCGGGAGGCUACACAUGCAAGUCGAGCGGUAACACAGAGGAGCUUGCUCCUUGGGUGACGAGCGGCGGACGGGUGAGUAAUGCCUGGGGAUCUGCCCGAUAGAGGGGGAUAACUACGGGAAACUGUAGCUAAUACCGCAUAACGUCUACGGACCAAAGUGGGGGCUCUUCGGACCUCAUGCUAUCGGAUGAACCCAGGUGGGAUUAGCUAGUUGGUGAGGUAAUGGCUCACCAAGGCGACGAUCUCUAACUGGUUUGAGAGAAUGACCAGUCACACUGGAACUGAGACACGGUCCAGACUCCUACGGGAGGCAGCAGUGGGGAAUAUUGCACAAUGGGCGCAAGCCUGAUGCAGCCAUGCCGCGUGUGUGAAGAAGGCCUUCGGGUUGUAAAGCACUUUCAGCGGGGAGGAAGGGUCACUAGUUAAUACCUAGUGGCAUUGACGUUACUCGCAGAAGAAGCACCGGCUAACUCCGUGCCAGCGGCCGCGGUAAUACGGAGGGUGCAAGCGUUAAUCGGAAUUACUGGGCGUAAAGCGCACGCAGGCGGUUUGUUAAGUCAGAUGUGAAAUCCCCGAGCUCAACUUGGGAACUGCAUUUGAAACUGGCAAGCUAGAGUCUUGUAGAGGGGGGUAGAAUUCCAGGUGUAGCGGUGAAAUGCGUAGAGAUCUGGAGGAAUACCGGUGGCGAAGGCGGCCCCCUGGACAAAGACUGACGCUCAGGUGCGAAAGCGUGGGGAGCAAACAGGAUUAGAUACCCUGGUAGUCCACGCUGUAAACGAUGUCGAUUUGGAGGUUGUGCCCUUGAGGCGUGGCUUCCGGAGCUAACGCGUUAAAUCGACCGCCUGGGGAGUACGGCCGCAAGGUUAAAACUCAAAUGAAUUGACGGGGGCCCGCACAAGCGGUGGAGCAUGUGGUUUAAUUCGAUGCAACGCGAAGAACCUUACCUACUCUUGACAUCCAGAGAACUUUCCAGAGAUGGAUUGGUGCCUUCGGGAACUCUGAGACAGGUGCUACAUGGCUGUCGUCAGCUCGUGUUGUGAAAUGUUGGGUUAAGUCCCGCAACGAGCGCAACCCUUAUCCUUUGUUGCCAACGAUUCGGGCGGGAACUCAAAGGAGACUGCCGGUGAUAAACCGGAGGAAAGGUGGGGAUGACGGCAGGGA
rnacentral:rRNA from 1 species